CCCAGCCCUGCCUCCUAGGAGUGCCAUGAAGGGUCUUGCUCUGGUCCCUUAACCUUUGCUGAGCCUUCCUCGUGUGUCAGGUGGGGGUGAUGAUACCUGCCUUUCAAACAUUGUAAGGAGUCCACAUGGAGCGCAUGGGCUCCUGCACAGGCCAAACAGCGGCAGUUGCCUUCCCCAGGACUGGCCCUUUCUCUCCAUGCACUCUGACCACCAGAGCCAUCUCCGGUGACUCUCCAGGUGUGGCUCUAUGCAGAGCAUGAUCUGCAGGGCUGGGCCUGGCGACGGUGCCCCGGACACGAUCGUAAACAUAUCAUUACGACUACCAACAUUUAUUAAGCAGACGCCGCCGCUGAAGCACGGAGAGGUAAAGCGACUUGCCCAGGGUUCACACAGCAGUACGCAGUGGAGCCGGGACUCGAGGCCUGGCAGGAAGGCCGAGUCUAGAGCCCGCCACCCCCACGAUCCGCUUCCUCACAUUCCGGGCUAGUAGACCUUCCCUUCUCAGGAGUCAAGUCCCCCCUCGGGACUCCUGUCCUCAUCUAGAAAGAAAAGGCUGCUGCUCUUCACUCGGUAAUCUCUGAGGUCCGGCGCGCUCUGAACUGCUGUGUCAGAGAGACAGUGAGUCCUCUGUGCGAACGUCCCCAAGAUGGGAAGGACAAGGACAGGUCUCGCCCUGGUUGGCAUGACUUAGUUCCGUCGCUGAGCGCGUCGUACCUCUCUGCUCACUUUAUAGUGAGAUUUAUCUACACGUCCUUCUCCUCCACCAGAAUGAGACCCCCUGAGGGCAGGGAUGCUAUUUCAUUUAUUGCUCCACAAGAGCACAGAGCCCAGGGCUGCCGUUGCAUUGAAAAGAGCAGAAAGAAAUCAGGAGGGUGCCCCUAUUCAGGCAGCCCCACUUCUAACAUUUGGCCGGACUAGGACUAUUCCUUACAAGGGCUGCCCUAGCCACAUCUGCAUAUGCAAAUGGCUUGUCCGUGGACAGCUCAAUGCAUUAUACAUGGUGGACACUUAACGGUCUGUUGAGUGAAUGAGUCUGUGCAUGCAAAUGACAUGCAAAUCUCUCCCUAUUUUAAUUUGACCCUCGGGAACAUCUUCAGUGACUCCCUUGGGCCCAGGUUAUUUUUAAUUUUUUUUUUUUUUAAUUGAAAGUCUUUAAAGGCAACCAGUUUUCUUUCUCGCCUGUGCCCAUGAGGCCGUUGUCAAGUUGGGAAAAGAGUGCUGAGCUGCGCCAGGUUAAUGAGGAUUAAUUCUGCUUCUCCUGGUCAUGCAGGGGAAGACGCCAGGUAGUGACACCCCUCCCUGGGCGUCAGUCUCUUCGCCUUUUAAAACAAGGGGGGUGGGUUUCCUGCGGGUAUUGAGACGCUAUGAUUUCCCAUCUCUCGGUCACAGGAACAUCAUCCUGGGCAGUCAGAGUGUCAGUGUUCAGGUCUACCUGCCUAGAAAGAGAAAUCAAAUCCCUUGCCAAGGAUUAGAGAAAGUCUCCAGCCCCCCUGCCCAUUUAGAGAAAUGAGUUUUUUUGGCACUAGUUCUCCCAGCCUGGGCAUUGUGUUCAAUCAUUUCUUUCCAAACCAGAGGAUUUUAAAAUAAGAGGCUGGAGUUUUCUCUCUUAAAUACAACAAGCCAAGCGUCUGAUUAAUAGGGUGGGUUUGCAUUUCCUUUCUCUCAUGUGAAAAUAUUUAUUAUAAAAAUGUUCCAAUGAGAAUAUUAAUAGCCAGGGAAU